GAUGAACGCUGACAGCAUGCUUAACACAUCAGCAACUGCUUGGUGGCGGACGGGUGAGUAACGCGUAAAGAACUUGCCUCACAGGUAGGGACAACAUUUGGAAACGAACGCUAAUACCUAAUACUGUGGGAGAGCUUUUCGUCCCAUUAGCUAGUUGGACAGGUAACGGCUCACCAAGGCGAUGAUGGGUAGCCAGCCUGAGAGGGUGAUCGGCCACAAGGUGACAGGGACGCGGCCCUUACUCCUACGGGAGGCAGGGGUGAAGAAUAUAUGGCGAUGGACCGAAGUCUGAUGCAGCAAUUCGGUGUGCACGAUGAAGUUUUCGGGAUGAAAAGUGCUUUCAGUUAGGGAGCGGUACCAACAGAGAAAGUGACGGCUAAAUACGUGCCAGCAGCCGCGGUAAUAC
rnacentral:rRNA from 1 species